rnacentral:rRNA from 1 species
GUGGGGAAUCUUGCGCAAUGGGCGAAAGCCUGACGCAGCCAUGCCGCGUGAAUGAUGAAGGUCUUAGGAUUGUAAAAUUCUUUCACCGGGGACGAUAAUGACGGUACACGGAGAAGAAGCCCCGGCUAACAUCGUGCCAGCAGCCGCGGUAAUACGAAGGGGGCUAGCGUUGCUCGGAAUUACUGGGCGUAAAGGGCGCGUAGGCGGACAGUUUAGUCAGAGGUGAAAGCCCAGGGCUCAACCUUGGAAUUGCCUUUGAUACUGGCUGUCUUGAGUACGGGAGAGGUGAGUGGAACUCCGAGUGUAGAGGUGAAAUUCGUAGAUAUUCGGAAGAACACCAGUGGCGAAGGCGACUCACUGGCCCGUUACUGACGCUGAGUCGCGAAAGCGUGGGGAGCAAACAGGAUUAGAUACCCGUGUAGUCC